GAUGAACGCUGGCGGCGUGCCUAACACAUGCAAGUCGAACGGACUUACAUUGAAGCCUAGCGAUAUGUAAGUUAGUGGCGGACGGGUGAGUAACGCGUGGGUAACCUGCCUUGUACUGGGGGACAACAGUUGGAAACGACUGCUAAUACCGCAUAAGCGCACAGCUUCGCAUGAAGCAGUGUGAAAAACUCCGGUGGUACAAGAUGGACCCGCGUCUGAUUAGCUGGUUGGUGAGGUAACGGCCCACCAAGGCGACGAUCAGUAGCCGGCCUGAGAGGGUGAACGGCCACAUUGGGACUGAGACACGGCCCAAACUCCUACGGGAGGCAGCAGUGGGGAAUAUUGCACAAUGGGGGAAACCCUGAUGCAGCAACGCCGCGUGAGUGAAGAAGUAUUUCGGUAUGUAAAGCUCUAUCAGCAGGAAAGAAAAUGACGGUACCUGACUAAGAAGCCCCGGCUAACUACGUG
rnacentral:rRNA from 2 species